CCUGAGAAACCCAAAAGAUCGAAUGGGGAGAUUCAUCGUCAGCUCAUUUUGUAUAUGUAUAAGUUAUGAUGCGGGUUACUACUUGUAGUAUUGCCUGCACAUUCUUGUAUAUUUAGUUGCAAGAUGUUGUCGGCGUGCACUUCUCCCCUAGUAGGACGUCGCGACCUGUUGGGUGUCGGUCUACGGCCCAAGUGAUAGCCUUUAAUGUAAUUUAAAAAACAUUGAAGAUCCUUGGUGUUUUCUGACCGGCUACUUGGCAGUAUUCGUACGGUAUUUAGCCGCUAAAUUUAUUAAGCGUUCAUAUCCAUCACAAGCGAGGCUAAUUUACUGAUAGUAUGGACCUAGUGCCGUCGUUGGUAUUGGCCAGCUGUUGGUUGAUGGUAUUCUAGGACUGGCUAAAAUUAAUACCGGUCGGCGAUGCUACUGCUUUGGGUACUUUCAG
rnacentral:rRNA from 1 species